GACGAAGGGGGCGAGCGUUGUUCGGAAUCACUGGGCGUAAAGGGCGCGUAGGCGGCGCAGUCAGUCAGGCGUGAAAGCCCCGAGCUCAACUUGGGAAAUGCGCUUGAUACUAUUGUGCUAGAGAGCGGGAGAGGAUGGUGGAAUUCCCAGUGUAGAGGUGAAAUUCGUAGAUAUUGGGAAGAACACCGGUGGCGAAGGCGGCCAUCUGGACCGUUUCUGACGCUGAGGAGCGAAAGCCAGGGGAGCAAACGGG
rnacentral:rRNA from 1 species